AUAAGCUGGGGAAGAUGAAGGUAAGAGGGCCUCAUCUGUGUGGAGCCAUCAUCUAUACUGGGCGAAACUUUUCAGUGCAGCUGCUUCGGAGGGCUUCAUACUCCUGCCUGUAACCAAUCAUCCCGAUCUGUGCUUUGUGUCCAAUGCAAAUGAGACAGAGCUCCGACCUCAAUGAUGUCACCAUAUUAUUAAACAGGUUAACAGCAGCCAUUAGCCAAUGAUCAUCAUAGGGUGGGCAAUGUCCAGACUUGCAAUGGCGUCGGUGGCCGUGGUUUCUGCUUCUGCAGGUAUUCCCUAAUGAUGUUCUGCCACAGUGGUUUUGUGAAUAUGUGCAUUUUAGCCCAACGUUAUUUUCUCGUGAAAGACCUUAUUACAAAAUUAUAAUACAUAAAUAUUUUAGCAGUAAUAACAUGGGUAAUCAUCCUUAAUGGCCCGAUCUGCCUAUAGGCUUCUGGGUUAGGAUAUAGUAUCACUUUAGGCGGCACUAUGAACAGGAUUUUUAUGUUGCCUUGCUGUGAGCAUCUUCAAGUCAAUAGCAGAAGAGAUGCUCUUCUCUUUUUUAAUUUUUUAAUAGCUCCCUAACCUACAUUCAGAAGCCUCACUCUAUAAAGUGCAGUGAAGAGGCAGCCUCAGGAUUGAAGCCAUCCAGUCUUGUGCUGUUUUUCUUCUAGUAUAAGCUUCCUGCACGCCCCAGCCCUGAAUCCACUCAGAAAAGUGAAAAUUGGAUUUUUCUGAAGCAUUAAAGAAUUGGAAAGAAGAUGUGUUUUAAGAUGGAGGCAUACUAUUAAUAAUUUACAGUGCUUGGUGGCACCUGGAGCCUGCGCAUGGCAGUGUCUGGCCCAAGCUGCAUGGUACCCUGGCUUCUUCUCUGGUCUGCAAAUGUCCUGUCAGAGAGUCACUUCUUCCAAGUGUGAUGAUUUAGGAUUGUUAGGAGACAGGUCAGAAACUGGACUUCUCUUAGAACUUUAGACCACUCCUGUGGUUGGGAUCCGUUCCCCACUGCUAGUGAGGACAGACAUCUAGAAACAUUCCUGGUUCUUUCUGAGACCUGCUUCUGAGCCGCUUUGGUUCUGAGAGUGGGUUCAUGUCCUUCCAUUAUAGGUUCUCUUGACUACGGUAGCUGCAGUCUAGGCACCAUGGUAAUACACUCUACCGUCUACAGCAUGAGCUCCAUGUUUUAGAGCUCUGGUAGAUCUGCACAGGACACAGCACCCUGUCUUCUCUACGCUGAUUCACAGAUUCUCCUGGUUUUAUUUGGAGUGGAAAUUUGCCCAGUUGUACAUGUUCAAAGCUACGGGUGGCCGUGUGAUAUGUGGUCCUACGGGAUGGCCUACAAAAGGAAUUCUUGUGGGAUUGCUUUCCUAACUCUCUUAAAGCACCCUUCCUUCCUCUGUCUCCUUUUGCUUAUGUGAAAUGAGGGUGUAACUCCUUAGAGGGAAUAGGCAUGCUGUAAACUUGUCCCAACUGCCCAGUCCCAGAUAACCAACUCAGAGGCUGAAUAUGAAUUAGAAAUGCUUGGCUGAGCCGGGCGGUGGUGGCACACGCCUUUAAUCCCAGCACUCGGGAGGCAGAGGCAGGCAGAUCUCUGUGAGUUCGAGGCUGGGCUGGACCAAUAGC